AUGCAGUCGACGGUAACAGGGAGCUUGCUCCGCUGACGAGUGGCGAACGGGUGAGUAAUAUAUCGGAACGUACCCAGAAGUGGGGGAUAACGUAGCGAAAGUUACGCUAAUACCGCAUACGAUCCACGGAUGAAAGUAGGGGACCUUCGGGCCUUAUGCUUUUGGAGCGGCCGAUAUCUGAUUAGCUAGUUGGUGAGGUAAAGGCUCACCAAGGCGACGAUCAGUAGCUGGUCUGAGAGGACGACCAGCCACACUGGAACUGAGACACGGUCCAGACUCCUACGGGAGGCAGCAGUGGGGAAUUUUGGACAAUGGGCGCAAGCCUGAUCCAGCAAUGCCGCGUGARUGAAGAAGGCCUUCGGGUUGUAAAGCUCUUUUGUCAGGGAAGAAACGGCUGUGGCUAAUAUCCACGGCUAAUGACGGUACCUGAAGAAUAAGCACCGGCUAAYUACGUGCCAGCAGCCGCGGUAAUACGUAGGGUGCAAGCGUUAAUCGGAAUUACUGGGCGUAAAGCGUGCGCAGGCGGUUUUGUAAGUCUGACGUGAAAUCCCCGGGCUCAACCUGGGAAUUGCGUUGGAGACUGCAAGGCUAGAAUCUGGCAGAGGGGGGUAGAAUUCCACGUGUAGCAGUGAAAUGCGUAGAGAUGUGGAGGAACACCGAUGGCGAAGGCAGCCCCCUGGGUCAAGAUUGACGCUCAUGCACGAAAGCGUGGGGAGCAAACAGGAUUAGAUACCCUGGUAGUCCACGCCCUAAACGAUGUCUACUAGUUGUCGGGUUUUAAUUAACUUGGUAACGCAGCUAACGCGUGAAGUAGACCGCCUGGGGGAGUACGGUCGCAAGAUUAAAACUCAAAGGAAUUGACGGGGGACCCGCACAAGCGGUGGAUGAUGUGGAAUUAAUUCGAUGCAACGCGAAAAAACCUUACCUACCCUUUGACAUGUCAGGAAAGGCCGGAARAGAUCUGGCCUGUGCCCCGAAAGGGAACCUGAACACAGGUGCUGCAUGGCUGUCGUCAGCUCGUGUCSUGAGAUGUUGGGUUAAGUCCCGCAACGAGCGCAACCCUUGUCAUUAGUUGCUACAUUCAGUUGAGCACUCUAAUGAGACUGCCGGUGACAAACCGGAGGAAGGUGGGGAUGACGUCAAGUCCUCAUGGCCCUUAUGGGUAGGGCUUCACACGUCAUACAAUGGUACAUACAGAGGGCCGCCAACCCGCGAGGGGGAGCUAAUCCCAGAAAGUGUAUCGUAGUCCGGAUCGUAGUCUGCAACUCGACUACGUGAAGUUGGAAUCGCUAGUAAUCGCGGAUCAGCAUGCCGCGGUGAAUACGUUCCCGGGUCUUGUACACACCGCCCGUCACACCAUGGGAGCGGGUUUUACCAGAAGUAGGUAGCUAACCGCAAGGAGGGCGCU
rnacentral:rRNA from 1 species